GCCAGCAGAAAACUAUUGUCUAUCCUCUUGUAAUUUGGAAAGACUUAAGUUCUAAAAGGGAAGGACUUUGACUUAGUUCGGAUCUUGUCCUCAUGAUAGAAUAUAAAACUCAGCAAAGUUUGGAACCAAAAAGCAAUCCUAAUCCUAAUAGAUUAGUGAAGAGUUAUGGUGUGGUGGUCUCUGAAGAAAAACUGUAGUGUACGAAGGAGUGUAGGAAGUAUAAAGAAUAGGCAAAUCCCACAGAUGUUCAUUUAUAUCUUUACUUUUUCUUCUUUUAGUUGUGCUGAGAAUCAAUUAGAAUUUCCUGCAUGCUGAGCCUGUGCUUGCCACUGAACUAUGUCCUCUGCUUUGUUUGUAUAUACUUUUUUAUUUAGAGAAAAAAAGCAAAGCAGAAAAAGGGUAGAAAUAAUACAGAAUUUCAAAAAAAAUGACAGCAAAAUAUCACUAGUUGAUAAAUUACAUAUUGUUGUCUUAGAAGUAGAUCAAGUUACAAAAUCAGAUGAAGAUUUACAAAUGGCAAAUAAAUACAUGAAGAAAUGUUCACCAUCACUGGUCAUUCAAGAAAUGCAAAUUAAACAGCAUUGAAAUUUUAUGUCCUUAGUUUUUAAAUAUAUACUUUUAAUAUUUUUAUAAGACACUUGCAUUACUUGUUUAUAAAUAAAAGGGGCUCUGGCUAUUUUAAAUAGCUUCCCAGCUUCCCAUUCUGAUAGAGUAUUCAAAGCACAGCUUAUGUUUUAUUUAUCUGUAUACUCGCUGAAUAUAGUAAAUUACUAACACAUUGUAGCCAUUCAUUGUAUUUCAAAGCUUUAAUGAAAUUGGCCACAAGAUGUCCUUCAAGUACCAAGAAGCUUUUUAAAAAAAAAUCUAGUCAGUUUUGUUUCAUUUGAUUUACUUUGAGAAUUCUUAACUGGAUAAUGUUUAAUGAGAUUUUUGUUCUAAAUAUGAUUGUAAAAUAAUUAUACUCUGAAGAAAUCAAGUAUCAAAUACUUGGAAUAAUAGACAUCUUCAAACCAGAGUUAAAGGAAUAUUCCCAAAUGUUAUGUGCAUGUGGAUCUUUUAAAGGUCUAUAUAAGGCAUCAUGAACCUGUGUCCUGAUUGUUCACUUUCCUCCAAGGGCAUCAUGAGCUUCAUCCCCCGCCCCACUGCCUUCUACAUCUACACCAGCCACUGAGCUCAAUCAGCGCUCCCAGUCACUUGGCCUGCACCAGAGUCUUGGGCUCCAGGAUCCUUUGUGUCCUGCUCCACCAGCUUGCAGCAUGGCCGGGGAACCAGUGACAUGACAGUGCAGAGGGCAAGGGGUCUGUUGGGAAUUGGUGUAUCCAAAACCAGAAUAAGACCAUGUGAGACCGGGGCUGGGGAUUUAGCUCAGCGGCAUAAGCGCCUGCCUUGCAAGCAGGCAGUCAUGAGUUCGAUCUCUGGUACCGAUAAAAACGAAAAAGACCAAAAAAAAAAAAAAAAAAAAAGAGAGAGAGAGAGAGAGAGAGAGAAAAGACCAUGUGAGACCCGAAUGAUCACCUGGGCUCCUAUGUAUACUCAAUUAGGAACCUGGAGACUGAUACUUGUAGAGAAAACUUCAGGAAUAUGUGAUGAAGAAGAAGAAGAAGAAGAAGGAGAAGGGGCCUAAGUCAGAGACUAGAGACAUUAUUUCAAGACCAUUAAGGGGCCGGGGGCUCAGAUCUGCACAAAUUGUAUAGAUAAUGUGUGUAUCAUUGAACCAACUGAAAGUGCUGAACUUGCUGUUAAUGGCUUUAAAGUCAAGAAAUGAGAUGGUACUGACCAUGCCUGUGGAGAAAAAGAUCGUAAGCUCCACAGUGUCACUGAUGAAACCAUCAUCCCUGUGCUACAGCUAGAGGAGGACAUUGAGGGCCUCAAGGGUGAGUGUCCAUUCAAGAAGAAGACCACAAGAGAGAAGUUCAAAGCAGAUAGCCAGUUUGAAGUUAACGGAGGAGUUAAACGCAGCCAGAUCUGAGGACUUCAGCAAGAUCCUGGUGGACACUGGACCCAAUGUAAAAGAUGGCUCCAAAGAACCAAGAGGAUCUGAAGAAGUACUCAUCCCAGAAGACAGAAGAAAGCACCACUGUAGUCCCCUUGCACUCUUCCAAGAUCAGUGCUGUCAACAUGACAUUCAUGGGACUGAGGAGAUGCAUGGCCCAGUUCUUGGAUAUCGAUUUGGACUCAGUGAGAAAUCUAAAGUCCAGUUUGGAGAACAGCUGGAGGGACAUGGUGACUCACUAUGAUAUGCAAGAUGGAGUCACCUGGAGUCAAAACUGGCACAGAUCUGGGCAGAGUGGCAGCACCGGGCCCAAGAGUAUGGAGGUGUGGCUGAACAUCAAGGUCAAGUGGAGGGCUGAGAUUACCACCCAUUGCUGCCUGCUGGAAGUCAGAGAGGACUUCAAUUUGGAUGAUACUCUGGGAAGCAACAAGUUGAUGCAAAGCAUCUAAAAGAUCACCAUGAACAGCACUGUGGAGGACAAAAUGAUGUCUGAGUACAAUAACAACAAACUAUUGAGACAUGAGGCAGGAGCAGAAUGUCCAUGGGGUGGGGAGCUAAUAAAAGUUAAGAGCUCAUUGGAAAAAAAAAUCCAUAUUAAACUAUGAUGUUUCUAAAUUGUGAGAAUCCUAUGACCACUGUGAUUCUUAUCGGAAAAUAUCACUAUUUUAAGACAGUAUUUAUAGCAAAUUAUAUUCUUUAAGGCUAAUUUAAAAGGAAUUAAAGUAUGCCCAGUUAAUGUUGACUGCAAGAUUCUGUAUCCACUUUUGUUAUAAAUAUGUGCUCUGGAGAAUGCAAUCUAGCGUGGAAUUAAGGAAAUUCUCAUCAUAUUUUCCAAACAUAUCCAAAUUAAGUUUGCUGUGAAGAUAGCACCACGGUUUUCCGCUCUUACUUAAAUGAAAGACCUGUAAUGUCUCCAAUGUUUUGGUUUUGUUGGUUUCGUUCUUUACUGUUUUGUUCAAUUUUAUUAUAACUGAUGAUAUAGGCAAUUCUAUUUGAGAUAGCGGGAGGCAUUAUGGUAACCAUUGUUGACCACCUUGUAUUAUGUUUUUACAUUAUCUAUUAUGUCCACCCUUUUGAUUUGACCGACUCUGUUCUGUUAUGUCGCAUUUGAUUUUACUCUCUUCCAAAAAAAUUAAUAUGAACUGUGGGAGUAAUAAAACCCAAAAUGUGUAAUUGUCAUUGUACAAAAGAGAGGAAAAGAAAGUGCUCUAAAUGAUAUAACUGUAUGUAUAUUUAAGUGUAUAAGAUAAACAAUGAUAUUACUGAGUUUUGUUGGAUCAUUGAACAGAACUGUUUGCAGUCUCAGUGUUUGAAUGUCUACUUUAUAUGCUUUAAUUUUGUAACUUGAACAAAUAUUUCUAAGAUGACAAUAUGUAAUCCAUUAACUAGUGAUUUCCUACUGUUUAUUCUUUUCUGAAAUUCUAUAUAACUUGCCCCCUUUUUCUGCUUUUUUUUCUUUUUCUCCUUUAAUAAAAUUUAAAAAAAAAUGGAUCUGACCACCACUUGAGUCAAUAAAAGUGAUCUAAAAUAGACACAGCCUUCCCUCAGUACACAUGAGGGAUUAUUCCAGGAACUACCACUCCCAAGGAGACCAUAAUCUUUUGUACACUCAAACAUAAACUACAUGCAUCCUCCCAUAUAAUUUUAAUCACCUCUAGAUUAUUCAUCAUAUCUUACACAACAUAAAAGCUAUGCAUAUUCUAUGUUGUUUAGGGAAUAAUGAUAAGUAAAAAUGUUCAUACAUGUCCAGUAAAGACACAGUUACUCCCCAAGGAUUAUCCAUCGAAGAGGAAUAUGUGGAUAUUGAUGGCCUUUUUUUAUUUCAAGUAUCUCUUAAGUUGAGAGCAUUCUGAAAAUUACCUCUGCAUGUAAUCAUGCAUGAGUUGCAGUCACCAUAGAUGUAUUAGAAGGGUCUGGAAUGUUCUGAGACAAAGAUAUUUUUAUGCAGCCAUGAAAGAUAAAUUGCUUUAUAAUGGAGGUUUUUUAUUUUAAAAAACAAAACAGAAAAAGGGUAGAAAUAAUACAGAUUUUUUUAAAAAGUAAGAAAUCAACACUAGUUAAUAUAUUGCAUAUUGUUAUCUUAGAAGUAGUUGUUCAGGUUACAAGAUCUAGGCAUGAAAAUUAUCAAACAAUCAAACAAUGACAGCACAAACUGUGCUUUUUGAUAAACUAACAGAGAUUAGUAGUAUAGUUAUCUAUCUUGCACACAUACACAUAUGUACAGUUAUAUGUAUAUACUUACAUACAUGUAAUCUUUUCCUUUCUUCCAUUUCUCCUUUCCUCUAUCCCAGUUCUUCCUUUUGAGCACUUCCUUUCCCUUUCAUUAUUACAAUAUCUAUUGUACAUUUUGGAUCUUAUUACUCUUUCAGUAUUAGUUUUACACUAGGCAGACAGUAUGAGAUUUACAAAUGUCAGUCUGAUUUAUUUCACUUAUGAGUAUAGUCUCAAGUUGCUUCCACUUACCUAUAAAAACCUCAAGAUUAUCCUUUUUAUAGCUUAGUAAUAUUCCACAAUGGAGAUCUUUUUUGAGUUGAUUUACAAAGUUUUAAAAAAUGCUUUCAUUUUACUAAUUGACUGCAAGCAUCAUUACAGAAAAUAUUGAUACAUCUAAUUAAGCCCAAGUCUCCCUUUUAAAAAGGAAGAGGUAAAGAAUUAAAUUUGCUCACUGAUUUUUUAAAAGAGGGUAAAACAAAACAUCAAAACAGAACAAAGCAGAUCAGAACAAUACAGUGUGAGUGACACAGAUUUCGAAGCAAGACAACAGGAGAGUGAUAGUGGCUACCACAAGGUCUCUUGUUUCUCCUAAAUAGUUGUCUAUGUCUUCAUAUACAAUGAACUCAUACAAAACAAAGUAGUAUAAAACUGAUCAAAACAGAAGAAUGGAGGCAUGACAGCCUUCAAAACCAGACAACAGGAAAAUCAAAAAUGGCUACCAUAAUAUCUCUUGUUCUCUUCAAAAUAGCUGUCCAUACCUUCAUGUAUGUUGAAAUUAAAUAAUACAAAAUAGAUUAAAUACACUCUAAGCAAAGAAUUAAAUCAUUACUGGAUUUCACAGAAUGAUAAGAAAUCAGCAGUGGAUUGUUGUCUCUUUUUCUUCAAAGUAGCUGUUCAUUUCAUCACACAUAAUAUAAUCAAUUCUCACAAAUUGUUUAGGAGAAGUUCUAGGCAUGUAUAAGCCUCUACAUGUGCACCUAUCUUUUCUGCAUUGGAGGGAAAAGCAAAACAAAAUAAAACAUUUUAGUAAAAAAAGCAAGAAACAAAAAAGAUAAAUAAAAGUCAAUAGCAAAGAGUCAAAACAAUGUUGACAUAGGCCUUCAAAACAAAGUGGUAGGCACAUAACUAAGGUUGUUAUUUUACAUAGUAAUCUUCAGAAGCAUUCCUCAGAUACCAGACACAAGCAUGUAAAAUUGUUCCAAUCCUAUGAAUGUUAACUGUUUUGUUCCAAGAACUGAUAGAAUUUGUAGCACAAUCAUCUUAGCUAAAGUAUGUUUAUACAAAUUAGAUACUUUUUCUUUUCCAUUCCUUUUUUUCUCCUUUUCCCUGAGAUAUUAUUUUUCUCCCUUUGAGCAGAUUCUUACCCUUUCACCAUAUUUAUUGAGGAUUUUGCAUCUUAUGUACUCUUACCAUUUCUUAAACUAGAGAGACAAUAUGGUAUUUACAUGUGAGUUUGAUUUAUUUCACUUAUGAGUAUGGUCUCAAGUUGCAUCCUUUUACUUAUAAAUAUCUCAAUGUGAUUCUUCUUUAUAGCUGAGUAAUACUCCAUUGCAUAAAAGUACCACAUCUUUUUAAUCUGUUUCUCAGUUUAUGGGCAUUUACGUUGUUUCCAAGAUCUGGCUAUUACAAAUUGUGCUGCUAUAAACAUGGGUGCACAUAUAUCACUGUGAUAUGAUGUUUUCAGUUCUUCUGGAAAUAUGCCCAUUGCUCACUGAUUUUUUAACUCACCGGUAGACAUGAUAAGGAUUGAGUUAUGUUCUCUAAAUUCAUAUGUUGAGGUCCCAAAAUUUAGUACUCAAGAAAGUGACAGAUGGAUAUAGAAUCCUUGAGGAUAUCAUUUUUAGGAUGGGCCCUUAACCCAACAUGGCUUGUGUUUCUUAAAAUAUGGACAGGUACAUGCCCUGACACAUAGGGAGAAAGCAAUAGGAGGACCAGACUCAGGCUACAAGCAGGGAGACAGGGAAGCUUGGACUUGAUUCCUUUUCCAUGUCUUCAGGAAGAACCAACCUUGUCUCUACCUUGAGUUCUAAAACUAUGGCAAAACAAAUUCCUGUUGUUUAAUCCAUCCAGCAUACCUGGAAAAUAAAAUUUAGCAAUAAUUGCUUUAAAGAAGUGAUUGGUGUUGAUAAUAAUAAAGGAGAAACAGUAUGUCAAUUGUAUAUUAGUUGAUUAUUUUGCUGAUUAUUUUUUGCUAAUAUUCAUACUUAUUGAGUAUUUGGCUAUUUUGCAGCCACAAUUUAAAUUUAAUCUUUCCUUGGGAAGAAUAAAUGAAGUGAUUUUGUCUCUGUAGUUUUAAACCACAAAUAGGUUUGAGUUUCUGAUUCCACUAAAUAAUAGAAUUUUAGAAUCAUUUAGGAUAGCUUCUCUUCUUAUAGAUGAAGAAAUUAUGGUAGUAAGGUUUCAGAACAAAGCUCUUAUCUGUCCAAGUUUUCUGUCUCUAAGGAGGUAAAGUAGGAAACGUGUAUAGAAACCAAACUUUUACUAAUAAAUCAUUCAAAGCAGUCCUGAAGCCUCCUUACUGUCUAGCUUUUGUGUGUAUCAUGCUUUCUCUUACACUACGGGGAACUUAAACUCUUCUUUAGCCAAAGUUAUAGACCAUCUUGAGUCCUUCCUUUGGUAAAUCACCUCUCCUCUGUUGUCUCCUCUUGCUUUGCUAAGUCUUAGACAUUCCUCUUAGGGAAGGAAUUCUAUUUGUCACAAUUCAUAGGUUGAGCCCUUAAAUUCCAGGACCUCAGGGUGUGGCCAUAUUUAAAGGUAAAGUGUGUAAAGUAGAAACUGCAGUAAAAUGAGUUCACCAGAGUGCGUACAGAUCCCAGAUGACUGGCGUUCUGAGUACAAGAUGAGACCAGGACAGGCAAAACAGGGGGAAAGCAGUGAGGACAUAAGCUAAAGAUGGCCCCUGUGAGCCUGAAAGAGGCCUCAGAAGAGGCCAACCCUGCUGACACCUCAAUUUCAUAUUUCUGAUCUCUAGAAUGGAAGGAAAACGAAUUUCCAUCAUUCAAAGCCACUCAAUCUGUGAUAUGUUUGUCAUGGCAGCCCACACAACUUUGAAGAGCCAGACAACUUGUAACUACCAUGUCACUGCCUACCAACUUAGGACAUAACAUAUACCAAUCAGGUUUUACUUUUACCCUGACAGGCUUUUAAUCUUUAGUUUCAAAACAUAGGACCUCCUAAGUACACUUCAAGGUAGCUGAGUCUGAGUUUUGAGACCUUUUCCCUAGCUAACACAUUCUGGGGUAAAAAUAGUUAUUGAAAGUUGAUUUUUUUUGUCUCUUGUGAAAUCUGGAGCUAUCUUAGCUGUGAACUCAAAAUUAUCACCAGACUUUCUUCCAACAUGAAAGUACCUCUUAGUCAUAGGGAACUUGAUGAACCAACUCAAAUAGAGGUAUCAUGUUGAUCCUCACAAGCUAUUUUCUGGAAGCCAAGCUUUACUUCAGAAGGAUUGCCUUAACUUUAGAGUUUUAGGAGCUGUGAAGUUUUAGGAGGAGUUUUAGGAGCCAAAGGUGCGUGUCAGAUGAGGCCUGUCAGUGUCCUUGUCAAUUCAGGUCACAGGAAAACAACAGGCAAUGCCUUUACAGCAUUGAAAUCCAUCAAUGACAGAUCAUGGCCUGAUAAAGAGGUUUAUGACCUAAUCCUAGAACCUGAGUGUUCCUUUCCAUGGCAAAAGAUAUUGUUCAGAGCACCUUAAGCUGCGGAUCUUGAGAUGGGGGGCUUUAUUUGAAUUCUUUGACACAUGAUGAUGAGUAUCCCCAUACAUAGAGGAGGAAGGUGAGAGAGUUAGAGUGAGAGGCAUGACUGAUGACAGAACAGAAUGGAGUGAUGAUGCCACCAACUAAGAGAGAGCAGCCUCUAGAAGCUGGGGAAAAAAACAAGCACUGGACUUUCCCCCUGGAACUGCUAGAAGGAACACACCUCUGCAGAAGCCUUAUGGUUCAGCCCCCAUAAAACUCAUGUUGGACUUCUGACCUCCAGAAAUGUAGAUUUGUGUUGUUUUAAACCGUAAAGCCAUCAUGAUUUCUUACAGAAGACAUAGUACACAAUACAGAAAUUGAUACAGCUUGUCCAAUAGCAUAAUUGCUGAGCCCUGUAUCCCCCAACAUACUAAACUUAGCUCUGGUACCCCGUGAGGGUUUUCAUUUUCUGUUCUGUGGAUGCAUGUAAAAAGCGAUGGAUUAAUCUGAUCUAAUCUCAUCUUUCAAGCCAUCCAAUUAAUCAAAUUGGAGCAGACUCUUCUGUAGCUGCUUAAUCUGAUUAUUGUACUAAAUUGAUUGAUUAAUCUGGUAAAUUAAUUUAUGAUGAUGCAUUAAUGGCUGUCAGUGCCUAAAUAAAUAAUCUCAUUUAGAAAACAGAAAACACUUUAUCAGAUUCUCUUUUUUCUUUUUUCAAAACUAUAGGAUAAAAGGUCAGGCAGAAAAGCAGCUGGGGAUCUUUGUGAUCAUUUUGUUUUGGAUAUUUGGGAGGGGUGACUGAGAAGAGUCAUCUAUAAAUCACUCCUGUUUGUUGGAGACACCAUCAAGGGGAAGGGGCAAAAUUAAGUUACCACCAGCCUGUAGGGAAAGGAACAAUUCUGACAGUCAGCGUGACCAGACCUACGGUGUUGGACUCCGUCUGCUUCAGUGAAUUCUGAUAGCUCUUGUUUGGAGUCCAUUCUUGGGCAGAAAUGCAUCAGAGCUAUGUGCAGGUGAUAGACAUACUGAACAUACAAAGGGACGGCACCUGGGUUGCCCGGCAGGGCCCGGCAGCAACCUGAAUAAGUGAUGUGAGAUGGAAGGCAACUAUUGGGAGCUGGAAGUUCCUGUUUGGGAAACUGUCCUGCCUUUCGGAUGCCCAUGGUUGCUCUCUGAGCAUGUGAUUAGAAACGAUGUGUUUAAACCCAAUGACAGUGCCAGCACAGACAAGGCAACUGGUUAAAUGGCAGUGACAGCAGGGCCUGUUGAUGGUGAUGGGGCUGGUGACGCCAUGCAUCCCCACCACAAUGUUUAAUGGUUUGUUAGCCACCCUUUUCUUUUCCUUGUUCUCCAUUUUCUCAUCCUCCCAUCAUUUUCUUGUUUCUCUUCAAGCAAAUCAUUGCUUUCAAAGUAUUUUCACAGUCCCCAUGACCAUCAGAAAGAACUAUUCACUCUGAAAAGGCUUUCAGAAACAUCUUUGAACUAGGUAGGAGGCUGGAUUGUCUCAAGUAAAACCUUGGAGAAGGGCCGUUUCCCCUUGAGCUUUAUCCCUUUGAGAUCUGGGGGAGGGCAGACCUAGGGGGAACCUGAGUGGUCACCUUUAAGUUGAUGGUCUCACAGAGUCUUCCCAACACUACUCCGUGGAGUUGACUAGAGUUUCUCAAACCCAAGGGUUCUUGUGGGGAAGUCAAGCCUGAAUGUGAUUUAUAGGGUCAAAGCAGAAACAGCUCAUGCGGUCCGAUGGUCAUGGACAGACUCCCAAAAGCAAUAUUGAAGUUACCUCAGAAACUAAGAUGUGCUUGUAGGAAAAAGUGGGCGACACAGGAUUUCUUGAUGGAGAUUAAUUUUCUACUAUGUAGCAGAAAUGAGCUUCCAGUUGUGAUGAGACUCAACCACAGAAAAAUAUCCCAGAGAGAAGCUGUCUCCUCUAGGGAAUAAGAAUGCAGGUUCCAUUGACAGACUGUUGAGUUUUGUCCUAGCUGUUUUCUGAACUACCCGUGUGUGGCUGGGAAAGUGGCAUGACUUCACUGUAUUUUAGUUUUAUUCCCUGAAAAAUGACACUAAUAGUACUUACCUUUGAUAAAUGUUUGCAGUACAGCAAUACCAGUGGCAAUGAUGAACACCCGAAUCUGUGGCCCACAAUUGCCAAAUAUCAUGUGUCAUGGUUUAUGUCCAUGGCCUCCAGGCCUCAUGCAUUUACAUGAUGCAUCUGUGAUUGGUUCAUUGUAUAGUGCUUGGAUUGAUGAUGUCAGUGCUACACCCACAUAGGGGUGGAGCCAGGAUGUGAUAUAAUGGCAGGAAGAAGGUGUGUCUCGCUCUCUUGAUGGCUUCUGCCUUGCUGUUUGCAGCUGCCAUGAACUGUGGCCCAGCCAUGCCAUCCUGCCUUGGAGCCAACUGAGUAUGGACAAAAACCUCCAAAAAUUGUAAGAAAUAAACUUUUCCUUUCCUAACUUUAGUCACAGGUAUUUUGUCUCAGCAACAAGUAAAAAGUAACUAAGACAUCAUGUGACACAUGAUAUUUUAGGAUUUAUCAGGCUGCAAGGAAAUAAUUCCUUCAUUACAUCCCUGAAUUUCCUCAGUGAUGAUACACCUUAUGGUGAGACCAAUGAGAUCAAGACUGAGCAGAUGCAGCCACUGUGAUGUCUUGUGUUGAUGUCAGUUUUAACUGCAUGGCACUGGCAUGCUGGAGAAGGUCUCAUUGACAACUGAGUGCAAGUGCUUUUCCUUCUCUGAACUCAUCUCACACAUCUGAUUUCCUUGUGAUUUCCACAUGAACCACAGGCUCCAAAGUGAGCAGCAUACUGAACACAAGGCAUACCGCUCCACAUGCUACAGGAACAGUAAUAGGCUGUCUUUGUGGCCUCAUAGCUAACUUACUUUCACUCCAAACCCAACACAAAUGUAUUUGUGUUUAUAUGUUCCUAAAAAUUGUAGUUUAGCUUGGCAUGGUGGCUUGUAUUUAUAAUGAUAGGAUUCUAGGAGGCUGAGACAGGACGAUGAAAAGUUCAAGUCCUUCCCGGGCAAUUUAACUCAGUGAGAUCCUGUCUCAACAAGCUUGGGAAUGGGUCUGCGAAUAUAGGUCAGUGCAAAGGCUCUAGGAUCAAUCCCUAGUAUAGAAUAAAAGAUCUGUUCACAAAAUCUCUCUUUGGCCGAUGCUGCUUUGCUCUUCUGGCUACUCACGUUUGGUCCUUCUCCCAUGGACAUAGGCUGUAGAACUUAGAUGUAGCUGAAGAUUUAAGACAGGAUUCAGAAUUAUAGAGAUGUGGGAAAUCAAGUAUCUUUGCAAGCCAUUUAUGUUACUUCUGUACAGUUCUAGAAUUUAUCUGUGAUUGCUAUAGUUUUUUGCUAAUUUUGGGAGAAUGGAGUCAGUCAUUGAAGAUAAAUUGUUGCUACAAAUUUAGAUGAAAGUUGCAUAGAAACAUAGAUAAUUUGUAUUGAAUAAUUUGCAUUCUAUUCUAUAUGCUGGAUAUGAUCUAAGAUCUUAGAAAUUAUACGCACACCUCUGAAUCAGUGGGUGGUUCUAUAUCCAUGGUUUCAAACAAAAGUAGAUGCACUGAACAUGUGAAGAGUUUUGCUUGUCAUUAGUCCCUAAACAGUGUAACUGUUUUCUUAGCAGUUACAUUGUAUUAAAUAUAUUAAGUCAUCUAGAGAUAAAGUGUAUGGAAGGAUGUAUGUGUGUAAUAUAUAAGUAUUAUGCCAUUUUAUAAAAAGAACUUGAGCAUCCAUAGAUUUUGGUAUUAGAAGGAGAUAUUACCUGGUAUUGGAGAUAUUAUCUGCCACAGAUAUUAAGAAGUAACUGUAUUAAUUCAUCUGAUGCUUAAACAUUUUUAUAGAUGAAGAAACUUAGGAUGGAGAGGAAUGGUAGCCUUGGAAUCAAACCAAUAGCUGUUGAUUAGCAGCACACAUUCAUAACAGCAUUUCCAAUCAUGCAGACAAGAGAAGGAACAUAUCUGUGUAGUAUUGCUGUUAACAGCCUCCCAACACACCACCACAAGGUGUAGUGGCUUGAAGAACACACUUUUACUUUCUGACAGGCUCUAUGGCUCAGGGUUCUGGGCUGGCUCGUCUGAGUCCUCUUGCUCUGGGUUUAUUAGGAAGUGGUUAUGAAGCUUCUAGAUGGGGCUUCAGCAGUGCCCAGGUGCAAACCAGGGCAGAAUGUGCACCCCGGGCUAUCUCUUGAGGCUGCUUGCAGCCUUCCUUUUUGCCAGGUGUAAUGGUUGAUACAUUUUGUCAAUAUGAGAAGUUUAGAAGUUUAACUAAGUGGCUGUGCAGAGGAGGGCAUGGAGACAAGGUGUGUGCUACACCUGCUGUAGGACGAGUAGCCUGCUUAAUAUAAGGGAGGAAAACAGAUUUGUUCCCUGUUUUUGUUAUUGCUGCCUUUUCUGUCUUCUGUCACCUUGAACAGUUGUUCCUAGCCAUGUCACUUGUACCUUGGGGCCAGCUGAUUAUGGACUGAAAGCUCCACAAUAAACUUUCACUUCUUAAUUUUGUGUUGGAUAUUUUGUCCCAGGAAUGUCAGAAAAGUAGCCAACACACUAGCUGUGCCUAUUCUUAACUUCCUGCCUGUCUUCAAGUCCUUAUGGGACGCCCAAAACCCAGUCUUUUUGACAUCCUGUCACUUCUGCUGCAUUCUGAUCAUUAUAAGCGAAUCAGUAUGUCCAGGCCAUCAGUGUGUGCUGAUGGGGAGGGAGGAUACUGGGGCAGGGGUCUCUGGGGGACAGUUGAGAAUUGCCUGCCACAACAGCCUUUAAAAACUGGAAGUCUGUAUGAACAAUACAGGUGAACUUGAGAUCUAAACUGUCAGUGAUGUUUUACUCACACUUUUCAGUAAGAAGUGCAUUUGGUCUUGUUUUUGUCUUUUCCAGAAGAGAAAUAACCUUAAAUUUAUGUAUUUAUUAAACCAUAAAAAUUCUGUAUUUUCUAAAGCACCCCCACCGCUAUGUUGAAGAACCAGCCCACUAAUUUACUGUGGAGCUGUGUGUUGAAUAAGAGGAAAUAAAAAAGGAUGUAGUCAUUGCUCAUCCUCCCUCUGGCCUCUAAUGAUUUCCCACCUUGCUGGUAGCUACCCCUUUGUAUUCAGUGACACCUCAUGUCCCUGCCAUUUCCCUGCCCAGCCUGAAAACUAGGUCAAGCUUCUCUUUCAUUAAAUGUUCCCCAAAUAUAGCACUGUCAAUUCCAGGAUGGUUUUCCAAGCCUGAUCAGCCAGUGAGAAGCCUGAGGUGCCUCGAGGGUUGCCAUAGCAACCACAGAUGAGAACAGCGAUGAGGACACACAGGUUAAUAGGCUGUCUCCUCACAUGCAGCACUGCAGGGGUGGCAUGCUGAAGCCUGGAACCAGACUGUGAUGCUCCAUGCAUACAGAGCAGCAGGGAGCACCAGAAACACUACUGCAACUGAAAGCAGGUCUUUUAAGAAAAAGGAGGUCACACUGCUGUUUGAACUCACAUGUCACUUCUCAGCAAAAGCACUUCAGGACAAGUGUGUCUGGAGCCUUGUCCCUGGAGCAGCAUCAGGAAGAAGGAAGCAGACUCAUUUGGAGAUGCUGUAUGCAGAGUCAAAGGUAUUCACAUUUGUUCCGAAAAGAUAAUCCAGAACAUUCUCAGUUAUUCUCAGUACCAAAAAAAGGAAGGAAAGAAGAGGAAGAGAGGAAGAACUGGGGGAGGAGAAGAAUAAAGGAAAGAAGAAAGGGAGAUCUUGAGUGGUCGAUACAGAAUUUGAGGACUUGCCAAUGUAAGAGAAGACUGAGUCCUUCGGAAAUAAAUGAAAGAAUAACAGACUUUUCAUCACUUAUGGAGGGCUGGCAUCCCUGGCUGUCUCGGCAUCCCAAGACCAAAUGCUCUUAUAAGAAAAUUUCACAUUCCUAAGGAAAAAAGAAAUAUAUACUACAGUAAGGAGAAUGGUGAGUACAGUGAUCAAAAAUAUCAUUUUCUGUUUGAUUAUUAUUAAAAUAGUGACAUUUUCUAAAAUGUGUAGCUAGGCUCUAUUUCAAAACAUGACCAUAAAUGCAUAAUAAGAAAGCAUUAAUUUAGAGGAAUAUAAAUGUAUGAACAAUGCCAUUUCUAUGUAUAUGUGUGAUGUCUUUACCUAUCUCAUUAUCAACAGUGUUGAUAAUGAUUCUUUGGUUAUAAUAUUAGGUACAAGUCUAUAUCUUACUACUUUUACUGUCAGUAUACUCAUAACAAAACGUUAAUUUAGAAUAAGAAACUACUCUGAUAGCUAUUACAAAGGCUUAAUAAAUUAUCGAUAGUAAAAUGUUUGUCUCAUGAAACUGCCAAACAAAUAUGAGUUCUUAAGCUUUAAGAAUAAGUUGAUUUUGGUAGGCACCACAUGUUAAGGCUGAAGUAUCGAAAUAAACAUUGAGCUUUUAGAAAUAAUAGAAACAUAGGUAGGGCAAAAUAAUCCUAGGAAUGUUUUGUUGUGUUUUGAAGCAAUGCACAGGGACGUAAUACCUCUGCAGGCAAUCGGGCAGGAUGCUUUGAAUGCUUUACAUUGUCUGCACUGUAUUUACCACAACCAUUUUUUGGCAGAUGAUGAUAAAGUGACUUGAGUAAUGGAUGUGGUUUAACUAGAAGUAGUAUCCUAUAGAGAGAUGGAGAUCUCAUCUCUCUCCUGGCAAAGGGACUCAGAGCUGGGCGUCCCAAAUGUUUCUGGGCCAAGAAACCACCAGAUUCCAUUAAAAAGCAAAUUGUGCUUCAGCAGAGUUGGGGUGAAAAUGAAGAUUAUGUGUUUGUGACCAACUAGAGGAUGCUGGUUCAGCUGGCCCUCAGGCCACAAUUCGAGUAUCAUGGGUUGACUGACAGCAGCAAAAUAUAAAAGUGAAGCCUGACAACACAGGUAACUAAGUCCUUCUGUUUCCUCCAUGCUGAUAACAGGAACAUAAAAUUUAAAACUUUAGGAUGUUCCCCUAAAAUGUGACUAAAGUUGUAGUUUAUUCGUAAGUUAAAAUGACUCUCAGGUAAAAAAAAAAUCUCUCUCUUGAAAAAUGGACAUGAUCAGGAACAAAUGAGCUCUGAAUAUAUUCAAUGAUUUACUGAUUUAGGUUUUUUCUUCUAUUUUGUAUAACAGACAAAAAACAAUACAAGAGUUGAUAGGUAGAGUGGCAAGGAAAGACCAUCUCUCUGGGUGUCAGUUUGCUCAACAGUGUAAUGGAGAUACAGCGUUUAGAAGCACUUAAUAAACCCUAGAACAAGAGGAAAUGCCAGUUUUAUUCCUAAUCAGAGGAAUUACUUCUGAUACUUGUACCAUUUGAGUUCACAAUCUGUUAGUCUUCUACAUAUAUUGUCCAAUAUGAAAAAGAAAUUACAUGUGCAGUAGGGUUGAGAAGGAAGUGUACAGGGAGAACUAAAGAAAAGACAGGCAAAUCAAGUUUCCUCAAGCAGAAGCAAGAACAUGAAGGACAGAAGAAGGGAAAGCAAUAUGCAUCUGUGUGAAACACGUAACCAUUGCCAUCUAAGCUAAUUCUCAUUUCUCAUCCACAGUUCCAGCAGGCCUGCAAUCUAGCAACUGCCAGCCCAGGUCGUGAGAUGCGACCAGGUUACUGCUUAGAGCUGGAGUUUUAUCUGAAGGCUUAGCUGAGAAAGAGCUCACUUCUCGACUUGUGUGUGAACUGUGAGAAUUCAGUUCCCCAAAGGCUGAAGAACUGAAGCCCUCUAUCUUUGCUGGCUUUCGGUUGAAGGGAAUGCUCCACCAUGGCACAUUGCUCAUCAAAGCCAGUAAUGUGGAAGUGGUAAUCUUUUGUAACUUCAUGAUGGAUGUGAUGUGUUUUAUUAUAGAAAGGAUCAGGUGUAUCCCCUGACAUAUUGCUGUAAAAUUUAAUGUUGUCUUACUGGGUCUCAGGUUUUUUUUUUUUUUUUUUUUUUUUUUGAGAGAGAGAGAGAGACAAAGAGAGAGAAGGUCACCCUGCGUAGUUCAGGUUGGCCUUGAACUCACCGCGCAGUCCUGGCUGAACUUGCUGCAAUUCUCUUGCCUCGGCCUUCUGAGUGCCAGGAUUUCAGUUCUGCACCACCACACCCAGCUGGGUUCCGAUUUUGCUUUCGUUCUCUUUCUCCUUACUUCUUGCCUGUUCAUUUCUUUGGAGUAGGAACUGUUUUGAUUUUUAUAAGAGUACAUAUCUGAGUCUCCUUACAGUCUUGGAUUCUUUGGACUUGGAAUUUGGACCAGUACUAGAACAGUUAACACUUUGACAAGUCAUGGAGGUGGACUGAAUGCAUUUUGGAUUAUGAAAUGGACAUGGCCUUUCGGGGUCAGAACCGUGUCCUAUAUCUUGGAUCUGGAAUGUUCCUUAAAGGCUUAUUUUUAUUUUAUUUACUUUUUAUUUUGAAGAGAUAAAAACAAAUGAAAUAAAACAGAAUAGAGUUAAGCAAAACAAAAUGAUGAACAUGGUACAUAACUUUAAAACAAAAUACAAGAAAAUCAAUAGUGACUACCAUAAUGCCUCUUGUUAUCUUCAAAAGAACUGCCCAUACCACCAGGCAUAAUAAAAUCAAACAAAAUAGUAAAGAAUAAAACUAAUAAAAACUAAACAAUGGAAACAGUACAGGACUUAAAACAAGAUAAUAGUAAGAUCACAAUGGGUAUACUAUAAUGCAUCUCGUUAUCUUCAAAGUAAUUGCCUAUACCAUCAGACAUGAUACAAUCAAACAAAACAAAAUAGAGUAAAAUCAGUCAAAACAAAAUAAUGAAAGCAAUUCAGGACUUCAAAACAAUACUAAUACAAAUAAAGCUAGUGCAAAAUAAAAAUGACUACCGUAAUAUAUUUUGUUAUCUUUGAAAUAGCUGUCCAUGCCAUCAAAUAUAAUAAAAUUAGACAAACCUAAACGCUUAUUUUUAAAAGGCUUUGUCCCCAGCUUGGUACCUUUGGGUACUUGGUGCUUAGUACUAUUGUAUUAUUGGGUACAAUGGAAACUUCAUGAGGUGAUGCCUAGUAAGAGAUCUUCUAAUCAUCUGGGGUGUGCCCAUGAAGGGCAUAGUAGAACUCCAGCCUCUGGUUCUUCUUUUCUCUUUCAAAUCCAGGCAACGAGCUGAGUGCCUUUGCUAUGUCUUGUGAUCCCCAUGACGCUGACUUUACCACACACCCAAAAGCAACAGGGUCUACUGACCAUGGUCUAAAUCUCCAGCACUGUGAGCCAAAAUAAAACAUUUCUCUUCUAUAAAUUGAUGAUGUCAGGUAUUUUAUCAUAGUAGUAGAAAUAAACUGACAGAAUUACUAUCAUCCCUUAUGGGGGGAUACCAUGGAAUAGCUAAGAUCAAGAAUAUACACAAGGCCACGUAGCUAGAUACGGCAGAGCUGAGGUGUAAACUCAGUGUGGGCGUGGAGCCAAGACCCUUCUCACUUGUCUCCCUGCCGCCAUCCCACAGGACAUGUGGAGUAAACAGGAAAGCGUGCACGUUGUGCACUGCAGAAUGCCUCGUGCUCUAGAGCCACGGGCAGCUUUGAAGCGUGCUGAGGACAGAGGAGUUGAGCUGGAUAGUACUGCUUACAUGAUAAAAACACUUUUCAAAUAAAAAGAUAAGGAAUAUGGUUAAUGAAUGGGUAAAAAUAUGUUUUGAAACUGCAAGAAUUCAAGAAGAGAUUUUUCAAAAGCAAAAAAAUGACAUUCCACAAUUAAAUCAUGGGAUGAGAAAUAUGUAGCCAUAAUCAUGGCAAAACUUAGAAACCAGGAGCCAAUUCAGUGAUGUCCAACUUUGACUGUGCAUUAGAAUCACCUAGGGUGGUUUAAAAAUGUAUUGAAAUCCAUGUUUUCCUCAUGGAAACUUUGGAUUCUGAAGGGCCAGGUAAUACCCAGAAUCAGUCUCUCCUUCUCUCUCUCUCCCUCCCUCUACCUCUUCUAUUCUAGCCCUUCUCUUUCAGCAAUGCAUAGUUGUGCUGGAGCCUGGACCAGUUUCCAGCACAGAAGCAAGACUCACAUGGACCUGGUACACCCAUAGUUAGAAGCCUUGGAAAGGGUAAGGAAAAUAUUUGGAAGGUAGUAAAAUGCAGUAUAAAUUCUACUUCUAGAAAACUUUCCUGUAUAUACACUUGUGUAAAAUACUGUGUGCAAACAGAUAUGUCCAAGAACAAUUGCUAAAAUAGUGCUUGCAAGGCCAAAAACAGUGAAGCAAACCAUUCCUCACUGACAGGAGACAGGUUAAAUACUGUAAUUCAUGAAAUCUCCAUAGAAUGAAAAAUGAUGGCAUUUAAAAUAAGUAAAUCUCAGUCUGUUUCUAUGAAAACAUCUGCGAGACAUUGUUAAAUAUUAAAGUCACAAAACAGUAUUAAAAUCUUAUUGUUAACAUUAUAUCAAAUAGAAAGUCUGCAUGUACACUGAGUAGACUAUGAAAAACUACAUCUCUGUGGAUGAACUGGGGAGUCAGGAGGAAAGGGUAGAGGAUCUUACUCAAAUGCUUUGGCAUUGACACUUUUUUACAAUGAGAUCUAUCACUUAUUAUAAAAUGAUUUUAAAAUGCAUGAAAGAAUUUCCAAUGGCUUCAGUGUAAUGACUGUAAAUGUCUAGUUCUUCACACUUUCACACAGGAAGCAGAGGGUGAUUUCUAAGGGGAGAAGUGGAGAAAGUAUAUGUAGUGUCCAUGAGGUGAUGUUAUUAGAGAAGGCAAGAUACAGAAAAUGAUCCAAGAGAAGCUGGAAAACCUUAAGACCCCACUUCUCAGUAAACACAAGAGCAACAGAGUUCAUAGAAAAAGAGUUGAGCUCUAGCAUUUUGAGAGGAAAGAAAAAUAAUUAACAGAUGCAAUGUAUAAUAAAAUGAUUAUAAGCAAAAUCUCUUUUAAAGUUCAGACCUCUACCGACCCCAUCCUAAUCCUUAGGUUAUCCUGCCCCGCAGUGCUCCAUCUAUCCAGCUUAGCACUGUUGUACAUCCUUCUCAUGGAUAGUCUCAUGUAGACAUGGGCUAGGAAGAAACGCAACUCUCUAUGUAGAGUCCAAAGAUUCACAUCAAUAGUCUGUGCCUAUCCAAUUUGGUUGAAGAAAGUGAAUGAGACAUAUGCAGCCAUGGAUUCCCGUAAGCCACGGCUUAAACUAAAAGUCUAACACAGCAAUCAUGCAAGUCACCAUUACAACCUAGGCCAAGAAGGAGCCUAUUAGUCAUAUUUCUCUGUCUAUAAAGAAGUUACCACUGCCCCUCCACUGUCAAUGUCCUUCACAGAAAUAAUAAUGUUCAGUCAGCCCUCCAAAUCUGAAGGUUCCAUGUAUCAAACCACCUAUUGGCUGAAAAUAUUGGAGAAAAACAGUUGUGUCUGGGACUAUAGGUACAGCUAGCUCAGUGUGGAGGGCUUGCUUAGCAUGAGUGAGGCCUUGAGUUUGAUUCUCAGCACUGAAAAAAUCUUGUGUCUGUACUGAACAAGAGAAGUAUAGAACAACAAAGUAUAGAACUUUCUCUCCAGUGUUCACUACAUAAUACAAUAUAACAAGUAUUUACAUAACAUCUACAUUGUAUCAGGUAUUAGUAACCUAGAGAUAAACAACAUGGGUUACACAAUGCCCUACAUUUUGGUCUCCUCAGGAGCCCCUGAAACCAGCCCCCAGCAAAUACCAAGGAACAAGUAUAUUUCUUGCGAGGCAAAGUGAGAUGGCAGAAAAAGCAUGGAUUUGGAGACAGAGAGACUUCUCUGCCACCCAAUCAGUGCAUGACCUUGAACCAUUUGUUCUGACCAUCCCCUCUCUCAUCUGGAAAGACAAAUUAAUAAAUCCUUCCUUCUCUGUUCCCACAAGAUGAGAAAUAGGUAUACAAAAGAAUGAUGCUAACCAAAGAGACAAGUCAUUUCUCCUACAUUUUUUCCUUAAUAACUAGGGGAAAACUUCUUUUUUUCCCUGUUUAAAGUGAGGAUUAGGCAAUUCUAUCCCAUCCUUAUAAAUUCUCUCUCAAUGGCAAAUUAACAUAAAUAAUAUGAAAUUCUCACUCUGAGGGACUUCUUUGCCAGCUCGCUUCAGUCUGACUCAUUGGCCCAUCCCAUUUGAAGAGCCACAUUCUUUAUUAUGCAGCUUCGAACAAAAGGGGCUGAAAAUAAAUAUCUAAAUGUAACUAUAGGUUGCCAUAAAUCUCUCCAGAAUUUUGCAGUAAGCAAUAAUGAGUAGAUUUUCUCAACAUAUUUUCAAUCUUCCUUCUAUUCACUUCUGCCUUCUAGAGAUUUUUGUUGAACAGUAAGCGUUACCAAUAAUAAACACACAGCACAUUUUUACUACAUACUUAGUUUACUCUUCCUAAAUUGAGACACUUAGGACAUAAGAAAACAUAGUUUGAAGACGGCAAGGGAGUGUCUUAAAUUUUCAACAUUUUCAUAGGUUUUCCUUUUCAUGAUGAAGACUGGUCAUCAAAUGUUGUGUUGCCUUAUUGGCAAAAGGCAAAUUACUAAUUGACCUAGGACUGAAGUAUUUCAAAGUCAGUAAAAUUCAAAUGAUUAAUUAUCUUCUACAUUUAGACACAGACUUUCUUCUUCGAAUUUCAUAAAAUAGGUUCCUCGCCGUCCAUGACACUAACCAGCUGAACUCUAAGGUCGUUCUUAGCCACAGAAUCAUCUGCUUGUGAGUGUCUCUCCACGCAGCUCCUGGGCUUAUUUUCUCAAUUAGGACACUUUGUCUUCCGAUUCCUUUACUGUCUUGCUCACUAGCUUUCACAACCAGUGUUCUCCAGUGACUCACACCCCUAGCCAUGCUUUAGAUUCUGGUACCAACUAGAAAUAUGCUCCAGCUGAAAUCUUUUUUUUUGUUUUUGUUUUUUUUUUGUACCUGUGAUCGAACUCAUGAACUCGCGCUUGCCAGGCAGACACUUAUGCCGUUGAGCUAAGUCCCUGCCCUGAAAUCUCUUUAUCUUUCACAAAAGGUGACUUUUCCUGCCUUCUCACAACUUUAUAUCAUCUAUCCCCGAUGAUGAAUAAAACCAAGGCCUCAAUCUGUGGGCGGAUCUAUUUCUACAUACCCACUGUGUUCCUCUCCUCCCGAGUUUCCUUUCCCCGCCACACAGCCUAAUACUAUGAUAGACAGACACUUCUACAGAAUUUCCGUCACUGGCCUCCACACAUUUCUAUCUGUCACCUGCAUCUUCCCCGCACAGGCUGCCGUUGCUGCUCUUGGAAUGCCAAACCAGAGAGCAGGAAACAUUCGAACUCUCUCAGUGAGCUUUUGCUCACAUUCACGUUUUUUAAAUCAGCUGAACCCUCAGUGUAUUUAACAUCCUUUUCCUUGUCCCGGUCAAUUCACUAUUGAACAUCCAUUCCUUUCAGAUUUCUUCUGUUACUGGCUUAGAAGAUUUUUUCUAUGUCUUCUUAUUUUAUUUAUAUUUAUACUUUAAGACAAUCUUAGGCUUACAGAAAACUUCUAAGAAUAGUGUUAAAAAUCAGUAUAAAUGUACAGUUGGCUCUGGUGCUAAUGAAACCGCGUACCUUGGUGUGCGGCUUAAACAUUCUGACUUGACUCCUCGGGUCUCACCUCUUCUCCUACCCACAUUCUAGGCCUUCACGCUAUCUUCUGGCUUUGCCUGACUUUCUCACUUGGCUAUACCUUUACUGUUCAUUUACCUCACACUGAAAUGUUCUUUCAUCUUAUUCUUAGAAAACUCCUACUUAUUAUUUUUUAAACUGAACUUAAUAACAUAUUAAUCAUACAAACUCAUAAUUAUACAUAUUAUAUACAUAUGCAUGUAUAUAAUUGUCACAGUGGCAUAUAUAGUGCCUCAAUCACAUCUGCCUUCCAGCAUCUUGUGCCUUCCCUUUUCUCCUCUUUUCCUUUCUCUUUCUGUUUUCCUGACACUCUCUCUUUUUCCAAUGUACUGUCAGGUUAUUUAUUUUUUUGGUUUCCACAUAUGAGACAAAACAUGUGAAACUUGCUUUUCUGAGUCUGACUUACUUCAUUCAAUAUGAUGUAUGCAAGUUCCAUCCAUUUUUCUGUAGAUUACAUGGUUUCAUUCUCCUUCUGGCUGAAUAAUACUCAUAUACAUAUCAUAUAUAUACACAUAUGUGUGUGUGUGUGUGUGUGUGUGUGUGUGUGUGUGUAUAGUAUAUAUUUUCUUCAUUUAUUCAUUAAAUGGCACCUAGGCUGAUAGCAUAUCCUAGAUAUUAUGAAUAGAGCUGUAACAAACAUGGAUUAUACAAUCCCCUCUCCAUAUUUUUGUAAGUUUUCAAUAUAAAAUAAAGAUCUGAUAAUAUCCUAUCAGCUCACUCAGGAACCUAAGGGAGAUUUUCACAAGUGAGACCCUAAGGCUAAAGAACACACAUAUGUAAGACAUUAGCAACAACAGCAGGCAGCAUGGAUCAGCACAGAGAGGCAGAAUGAGAACAUGAAAAAGCUGCCUGAGUCUUUAUUGUAUAAUUCUUACAAAGGUUGUUAUUGCAUAUUUACAUUCUUACAUAGUGGUGUAAUCAGCACAUGCAUGUUUACCUGUGCUAAGCCAUGCUUAUCUAACUGUAGCCUACUGUGCACCUGUGCUAGAUAAGCAGGGUCACAUCCUCAUGUGUUCUUAGAUACCUUGAGCUUUGAAGUAGUCUGAUUAGUCUCCCAAAAUCCCAACCCUGGUAAGCAAUCACUUUGGCUUUGAAAAUAUUUUUUUUAAUCUUAAAGAGAACAAAACAGAACAAAGCAGAUCAGAAUAAAACAAUGCAAUUGACACAGGAUUUCAAAACAAGGUAACAGGAAAUCAACAGUGUCCCUUGUUUUCUUUGAAAUAGUUGUCCAUAUCUUCACACACAAAGAAUUCACACCAGAUGAAAGAGUCUAAAACCAUUCAGAACAAAAGAAGGAAAGCACUAUAGGCCUUUAAAACUAGACAAUAGGAAAAUCAACAAUGCUUAACAUAAUGUUUCUUGUUCUCUUCAAAAUACCUGUCCAUAUCUUCACAUAUAUUGAAAUUAAAUAAUAUGAAACAGACUAAUCAAAAUAAGAAAAACAUUACUGAUUUAACAAGAUGAUAGGAAACCAGCAAUGGCUACCACAAUGUGUCAUUUUCUUCCGAGUAGUUGUUUUACCAUCACCUGUAAUAAAAUCAAUACUCUUGGAGUUUCACAUAAAGCAGGUUCAACUAGGAUGUGUUAUAAGCAGUACAAUUUUAAAGGCUCCAAUAAAAGAAUACAUUGUUCAAAAUAUUUCCUUUUUAUUAUCGUACUGCCUAAACUUACCAUUAGAAUUAUCUUUUAUAGUUUCAAAAGAACUCUACAGGGAUUUAUCCAAAAAGAUUAGAGUAAUAAUGACUAUCUAAAAGGCACUUGGACAGAGUAUUCUUAAAGGAAUAUACAGUUUUGAUGAAAAAUGGAAAGAAAAUAGUUAGGUCUUGACCCACUGCUAAGGAGAACAAGUGCUUGGGACCAAAAGGAAAUGGGAAAGAGCUGAGAAGUCCUGAGCAGAUCCUAUUUCCUGUUACUUCCUUAGGGAGAGGUGAUCUUUUUUUUUUUUUUAAAUUUUAUUUAAGGAGAAAAAAAAAAACAUAAAAACGGUACAAGUUAUACAGAAGUUCAGAAAAAAUAAACAGGAAAUCACUAGUUAAUAGAUUACAUAUUGUCAUCUUAGGAAUAGCUGUUUAAGUUAUAAAAUUAAAGCAUAUAAAAUGGAAAUUCAAACAGUGAGACUGCAAACAGUUCUGUUCAGUGAUCCAACAAAACUCAAUAAUAUGGUUAUCUAUCUUAUACACUUAAAUAUACAUGCAGUUAUAUCCUUUACAGCACUUUCUUUUCCUCCCUUUUGUACAAUGACAAUUACUCAUUUUGGGUUUUAUUACUCCCACAGUUCUUAUUACUUUUUUUGAAGAGAAUAAAAUUAAAUGUGACAUAACAAAACAGAGUCAGUCAAAGCAAAAGGAUAGACAUAAUACAUACUGUAAAAACAAAAUACAGGGUGAUCAACAAUGGUUACCAUUAUGCCUCUUGCUAUCUUAAAAAGAAUCGCCUAUAUCAUCAGUUAUAAUAAAAUUAAACAAAACAGUAAAGAACAAAACCAAUAAAACCAAAACAUUGGAGACAUUACAGGACUUCAAAAGAAGAUAAUAGUCAAACCAGAAUGGGCAUCAUAAUGAAUCUUAUUCUCUUCACAGUUGUUGCCUAAACUCUCAAACUUGGUACUAUCAAGCAAAACAGAAUAGAGGAAAAUCAGUCAAAACAAGAUGGUGAGAGCAAUUAAGGGUUUCAAAUCAAGUUAAUAGGAAAUCAAAGUGGGUUACUGUAAUAUAUCCUGCUAUUUUUAUUUUUUUCCUUAAUUAAAGAGAUAAAAAUAAAAAAGUAAAUAAUAAAAAAAAGGAGAUUAAGAUAAAAGAGGACAUAACAACAAAACAGCACAGGUCAAAACAUAACCAUUUAAACAAAAUAGUGUUUCACUACAAGAUAUCCCAACAUAAAAGUGGUUACCAUAGUGUCUCUUUCCUUGAAAUCUUUGAGUAUAACUUCACAUACUCUAGCAUCAAACAUAUCAAGACAAUGUAAAACCAUUCAAGAGAAUGACAGUAUUACAGGGUAUUUAGAACCAACUAACAGAAAAUGAACAAUGGUUUCUGUAUAAUCUCCUUAUCUAUAAAAGUUUUUGUUUAUAUUAUCACAUAUAAUAAAAUCCAAUAAGAUACAACAUGUUAAGACUGAUGGAGACAGAAGAACAAAAGCUUGAUGGGACUUCAAAACAAGAUGAUAUUAAAUCAGCACUAGCUAUUAUGAUGUCUUGUUUUCUCCAAAAUAGCUGUUCCUACUAUCCAACCUUCUCUGACUCAUUUCUGUUGAGCUCUUUUUCUGUCAUUGGUUGUCAGUUUGUCUUCUUCAUUUUGCUUUCUGCUCCAUUCAUUGUGGCCUCUCUGCCACUGUUUUGGAAUCUUGGUAUUUUUCUUUUUUUAGAAUGUUCUGCAGUAUUCUCUGUAGAGUUGAAUUGGUAGUUGCAAAUAACCCUAGCUCCUCUUUAUCCUGGAAGCACCUUGUUUCUCCAUUAAUUUCUAGGGACAGUUGUGCAGGAUAUAUCAAUCUUGGCUGGAGGUUAUUAUCUUUCAAAGCUUGAAUUAUUUCCACCCACGCUCCUUGUGAUUUGAUGGUUUGUGAUGAGAAGUCUGCUGUAAUUCUGAUGGGUGUUCCCCUGUAAGUGAUCUGUUUCUUGUCUCUGAUGGCUUUUAAUAUCCUGUUCUUAUACUGGAUUUCUGGAAUUUUGAUUAUUAUAUGCCUGGGUGUAGUUCUGUUUGGGUUGUAGGUGGCUGGGGUCCUGUAUGCCUCAGACAUCUGAGUAUCUUUACCUUUUGCUAAAUUAGGGAAAUUCUCCUGGAUUAUUUCUGUGAAUAGCCUUUGUAGUUCAUUUGUUUGUGUCCCUACUUCUUCUUUUAUGUUCUUAAUUCUUAAGUUACAGAUCCUCUUAUCAUCUUCAAGCCUUUGUAUUAUUGCAGUUUGUUUCCUUGUUAUUUUUGAGAAGUUUUCCAUUUCAUACUCCCACAUUAGAAAUCUGUCCUCCAGUUCAGAUAAUCUAUCCUUAGUUUCUUUCAGGCUGUUAUGCCAGCUUUCAAUAGAGUUUUUAGUUUCCUGGUAAUCUCUUUGAACCUGCUUCACAUAUUCUAUGUUUUCUCUAUUUUCUCCAUCAAACAAUUCUCCCUUUUUUUUCUGUUAUUCCAUUCCACCAUCUGUUUUUUCUUGCAUGGUGCUCAGCAUUUCUCUAACUAUUCUACUUAUAUCUUGCUUUACUUUGUUAAAUACUUCACUUUUGAAAUCAUCUAUGAGGCUCCGGAGAUAUCACUUUAUGUCUAUUGGUGCUGUGUUUGACAUUGCAGGUUUUCUGUCUCAUUUUCCUUUGCAUUUACCUUUCCUGGAUCAGUGUUCUCAGAAUUGGGGACUGAGGACCCUUUCUUUUUGCUCCCUCUUCCCAUACUUUUUGUUCCUUCCAUACAAGCAUAUAUAGGAGGCCCAGUUUCUUUCUUUGUCAGUUACAGUUUGUUUCAAUCUGCCAGCCAGGUGUUCCCACCCACUGCAGCGUACUUGGGAGACACAGACCUGGGCAUCUUCUGCUGGGCCCACCCCUCCAGGUUGACCUCUUCAAGCCUUCACUGCUAGGGUGCACUGCCAGGAGCUGGGACCUGGUUUGGGCUAGCCUACUGGGUCUUAGUCCAUGGUGUCCCCCAGGCCAAGUGCUCCCCACCAAUCCCGCUUGAGAGGGGAAUAUGCGACUAAAGUCACUGCUGCGUCCUGUUAUGGCUAGUCUGCCCAGUCCCAAGUCUGCCCAGUCCCAGAAUGUCCUUUGUUGGAGCCUCCUAUUCCAUGGAAGGGUCCCCGUUCCUCUCACUCACUGCAGGUUGAUGCAGGGCUCCCCACCAGUCCUGCUCUCAACUCCAUUCACCGAUUCCCGCUCUCAGAGGUUUCACAUCUCUGUCCCUGCUGUGCUGAUUCAGAUGCACCAGUGGUGGCAGGAAAUUCAAAUUGCGGCUUCCAGAGACGUGGGUUCCAGCUUCAGUGCUGAGAUUUUAUCUGUUCCAGUUAUAGCACCGGAAUUGCAUUUCCAGUUGGUUUCUCUCAGCUUAGUUCAUUCCUGGGUCAGCAGGGUACAUCUCCCCUUGCUUAGGACUCCUCACAUCGCACCAUUCCUGGAUUGUUAUUUUCAAUUAUUAAUGAUUACAGAAAUAAUUGUUUUCUAUGUUUGACUUUAUCCUAAACUCUGACAAUUUCACUUACCAAUUCUAGUGUUGUAGAUUACUUUAGGUUUUUAAAUGCAGAUAAAAAUUUAUUACUUCUUAAAACUUUUGCCUUUUCUUUUCUCUUAUUUCACUAGCCAUCUAGUAUUAUGUAUAAUAGAAAUGUCUGAAACGAUGUUCCUUCAUUGCUCCUGAUCAUAAAGAAAAAUAUACAUUUUUUUCACUAUUAUGAUUUUAAAUAAAUGGUAUUGUUAAUACUAAAGAAGCGUCCUCCUGCUCCUUGUUGAUUGAAACUUUGCUUUUUAAUCAUAGAUAGAUGUUCAAUUUAGUAAAUGCUUUUUUCCUUCUCUACUGGAUAAAUAUUCUCCCUUAUCAUUUCACUAUGAUAAAUUAAUGAAUUCUAAAAAUACUAAUCAAAUUUUGAAUAUUAUGGAUAAAAUACUCCUUGGUUACAAUGUGCUAUCACUGUUAUAAUUUCUGCAUUCAAUUUGCUAACAUUUUACUAAUGAAUUUUGAAUCUUUCUCCAUAAGUUAUGUUUGCUAUGGUGUAUUUUUUAAAAAAUUUUGGUUAGGUCUUGGUAAGAGGGUUUGGUAAUAUGAGUUGGUAUCAGAGUGUGAACAAAAUAUGGAUUAGGUAAUGUUCUCUCUUCCUCUAUUUUCUAAGAGUUAUACAUAUGAUUGACAUAUCUUCCUUAAGUGUAUAAUACAAAUGGUAAGACAAGCUGGUGUAUCAUUUUCUUUCUGGGAAGAUUUUUUAAAUUAUAAAUUUAAUUUAUUUAAUGAGUAAACUUUUUCAGAUUUUCUUUUAUGGCAUGUCGAUUUUUUAAAAAAUCGUAUUCUUCAAAGAAUCUAUCCAUUUUAUCUAAGCUGUGGGAUGUGUUAACGUGAACAUUUACCGUAAUGUUGUCUUACUAUCCUCUCUUUGUCUGAGAGGUCUUUAGUGAUAUUUUCAUUUUCAUUUCUGACACUGGAAAUUUAGACAUUCUCUGUUCUCCUUUAUAAUUUUUGUGAGAGGAUUAUCAAUUUCAUAAUUU